rnacentral:lncRNA from 1 species
GGGGCCUGCGGUGAUUGGCGGGCGGGCGGGGAGGUCGGAAGUACUUUGUUUUUUAUGCUAAUGAGGGAGUGGGGCUUGUCCGUAUUUACGUUGAGGCGGGAGCCGCCGCCCUUCAUUCACCCACAUGGUCCUUCGAGGUGCCGCCGCAGCCGCCCGACCUGCGCCUUCGCGCCACUUCGCGCCCUCGGGCGAGGCCGAGGGGGUGGGGAAGACCCCUGCCGCGCCGCCGCGGCUCGCGCCCCUCGCGAAGCCCCUCGGCGGGGCGGGCCGGCCGGCGGGCCGCACCCCCGGCCUGGGGCCUCGGGUCGUAGUAAAGCGGAGGCGGGUGGGGAGGCGGGAGCGAGAGCCCGCGGCGGGCGAGGCGAAGAUGGUGGCGGCUACUCCUCUUGUCAUACACGUGGACCUAACUUCACCAAAAGCUUUUCUAAGGAUACUUGCUGAGAAGGAAGUUUACCUGAAUGGGUAAGUGGAUUUUAAUUUUAUUUUGUUAACUUCUUUAAAAUAAAAAAAAAAAAGUUUUUCUUGACUUAAUCUUCGAUUUGGAUAAAUAAGUGCGGUUGGGUUUACAAAGAGAGAAAUAGGUGUUUUGUACUCUUUCUAGACAAUUAACUUAGUAUAGGUCAGCUAACAUCUAAGUAAAAAUGCAAUGCAAAUAUGUUAUAAAUCUUUGCAAGCUGGUGCACAGUUUACAAAAUUUAGAACUAGUUAAAGUUGGGGUGACAAAAUAGAUGUAAUCUGGAGUAAGUUUUCAAGGCUUAAAAUAGUUUAAUUGGGACAUAAAACUUCUACAACCAGCUGAUAACACUUGAAAUGUAGUCUGAACUGUAAUUUUAUUAAUCAAUUUACCAAGUAAUUGCUAAUGGGAAGCCGGAAGAAAAGAAAAAUGUUUUGCCACGUGGAUGUGAAGAUUUCCUCUAAAAGGUAUAUGCAGUCUGGUUUUUUUUUUUCUUUUAAAGUAUGCAUUUGGGAGUGGCCAAGUCAAGAAAGCCACCAUUUUUUUCUUAAAGUAUUAGAAUAGGUAGGUAGUUAUGAUUGUCUUGUG